UACGUAGGGUGCGAGCGUUGUCCGGAAUUAUUGGGCGUAAAGAGCUUGUAGGCGGUUUGUCGCGUCUGCUGUGAAAUCUCAAGGCUCAACCUUGAGCUUGCAGUGGGUACGGGCAGACUAGAGUGUGGUAGGGGAGACUGGAAUUCCUGGUGUAGCGGUGAAAUGCGCAGAUAUCAGGAAGAACACCCGUGGCUAAGGCGGCUCUCUAGUACGGUACUGACGCUGAGACGCGAAAGCGUGGGGAGCGAACAGG
rnacentral:rRNA from 1 species